AUUGAACGCUGGCGGCAGGCCUAACACAUGCAAGUCGAGCGGAUGAAGGGAGCUUGCUCCUGGAUUCAGCGGCGGACGGGUGAGUAAUGCCUAGGAAUCUGCCUGGUAGUGGGGGAUAACGUCCGGAAACGGGCGCUAAUACCGCAUACGUCCUGAGGGAGAAAGUGGGGGAUCUUCGGACCUCACGCUAUCAGAUGAGCCUAGGUCGGAUUAGCUAGUUGGUGGGGUAAAGGCCUACCAAGGCGACGAUCCGUAACUGGUCUGAGAGGAUGAUCAGUCACACUGGAACUGAGACACGGUCCAAACUCCUACGGGAGGCAGCAGUGGGGAAUAUUGGGCAAUGGGCGGAAGCCUGAUCCAGCCAUGCCGCGUGUGUGAAGAAGAUCUUCGGAUUGUAAAGCACUUUAAGUUGGGAGGAAGGGCAGUAAGUUAAUACCUUGCUGUUUUGACGUUACCAACAGAAUAAGCACCGGCUAACUUCGUG
rnacentral:rRNA from 1 species